rnacentral:sRNA from 1 species
UAAGUAUUUUGGUUCUAGUUUGUUGCUGC